rnacentral:ribozyme from 14 species
CAAACAAUGGUCUGUUGUCCGUUCUUACUUGAAAGAGGGAUACAAGACCGUCUUCUUUUCUUUUCUUUUUCUUCUUUUUUGUUCUUUUUU